rnacentral:sRNA from 1 species
UCUGAAAGUGAACACGGAAGGUCCAAC